UACGAAGGGGGCUAGCGUUGCUCGGAAUCACUGGGCGUAAAGCGCACGUAGGCGGAUUGCUAAGUCAGGGGUGAAAUCCUGGAGCUCAACUCCAGAACUGCCUUUGAUACUGGCAAUCUCGAGUCCGGGAGAGGUGAGUGGAACUGCGAGUGUAGAGGUGAAAUUCGUAGAUAUUCGGAAGAACACCAGUGGCGAAGGCGGCUCACUGGUCCGGUACUGACGCUGAGGCACGAAAGCGUGGGGAGCAAACAGG
rnacentral:rRNA from 1 species